rnacentral:rRNA from 1 species
UACGUAGGGUGCAAGCGUUGUCCGGAAUUAUUGGGCGUAAAGAGCUCGUAGGCGGCUUGUUGCGUCGGCUGUGAAAACCCAUGGCUUAACCGUGGGCUUGCAGCCGAUACGGGCAGGCUAGAGUUCGGUAGGGGAGACUGGAAUUCCUGGUGUAGCGGUGAAAUGCGCAGAUAUCAGGAGGAACACCGGUGGCGAAGGCGGGUCUCUGGGCCGAUACUGACGCUGAGGAGCGAAAGCGUGGGGAGCGAACAGG